GUCAUGAUUCACAGGUUGAGAACCUCUGCUUAGGACUCUUCUACCUUGUCUCUGGCUACCAUUUCUUUUACAUGAUAUAUCCUUGAUAUGGGGUUCCCAGCCCUCCUUAGAGGGAGGAAUUCCAAUAAUGGCUUCUCUACCUUCAAGAGAGCAUCAUGGGCACCAUGGCAACACUGCCCAUUUCUUCAGCUCCCAUACGGGGAUAUUUGCUCACUUUCAAUGUAUACUUUUUUAAUUCUUCUUGAUAUUUGAAUGGAUUGAUUGGAUGUCUGUCUCCUUUAAAAUGUUAUAAACUCUGUUCAGUUGGCUUUUCAUCUUUAUAUCCUGCGCCAUCUUGUCUGGGGAUUGAGUUUGGCUAUGACAGAUCUGGCUUAGUAAAUAGGAAUUUAUAUCUUUCACAUGCAGGGCAAGAAUUCUAGAGGCAGGGAUGGCUGAAGCCAAUGAUUUAGGGGCUUAUCCAUGCAGAAGCUGAAUUUCUCUAGGGCACCCGCUUUGCUAGCUUCUAUCUCUGGAUGCCAGCCAGCCCAGCCGCAGUAGGGUUCUGAAUGGUCCAGGCCAUUUCAGUUAUGGAGAUCAGAACUGAGUUGUGCUGUUUCGCUAAGUGUAGCAAACUCGAGGGGUUGUGUUUUUAUUUUUCCAGACUCAAGUAGAAAAUGGCAAAAGAAAGAUGACCGAGAUGCCUUUCAAACACACCUGUGCUGCCAACAGGCCAAGUGCUCCGUGGAAGAAUUUCUAGCUCAGCACAGCUCAGGUAGGAUAAGUCCUCUGAGUACCUGAGGAACACACUCUAGGAGACAUUUCCACAGGAGUGAGCUGAGACUGCCUGUUUGGUGACUGCUUUCCAAAGAAGAGUCUGAUAACCUUCAGAGUUCUCUUAUCUUUUGUGUUAGUUCCUCUGGGGGGAUGGGCUCAGUCAAAGGGAUAUGAGGGGAAGCAUCAGGAAUAAGGUGAGGAAUUGCGAGGAGGGAAGAAGAGGAAAGUUCCAGAACCCCGUGAAGACGGUCAAGAAUCUGUUCUUAUGUGUGCUCACAGAUAUUCAUGCUGAGGUCAUUUACCCAUGGACCACAGUGAGCAGAUUGAAGACUGACCAUAGUGACUGGUAUCACCCUGAGGUCACAGGAAGGCUGCUUCUCGACAGUUUCAGAAGUUUGGAGAGGUUGGAAAAUAGACAUCUGGGCACUGUCAGCUGAAGCGCGCUAAGCAGGCUUCAACAGAUCCAGGUAUUUCUGCAACAGGACAAUAUUUGGAAGAGUCAACUUGAGAAAUGGAUAGAUAAAUCCUAAUGGCUGUUGCUUUGAAGUUCAAAGAAGACAUUGGUGACACAGAUGGCUGCAAAAAAAUGAGGGCUCUUUGCUUGAAAGUGACUACUUCCUCUUAGGGCGCUGUCUUGUGAGAGGUAUAUAAUCUCAAUUGUAUCAAUUUACAGCUCUACAAAUUAUUAUAUUUUCAUGUUUGCCAACCCUGUGGACGUUGCUGCUUAACUACCUAAAUGUAGACUC